GACAACGUGGCCGGGCGGUUAAGGCGAUAGACUAGAAAUCUAUUACUCUCUGAGUGCGCAGGUUCAAGUCCUGCCGUUGUCG
rnacentral:tRNA from 1 species